rnacentral:rRNA from 1 species
UACGUAGGGUCCGAGCGUUGUCCGGAAUUAUUGGGCGUAAAGAGCUCGUAGGUGGUUUGUCGCGUUGUUCGUGAAAACCGGGGGCUUAACCCUCGGCGUGCGGGCGAUACGGGCAGACUUGAGUACUGCAGGGGAGACUGGAAUUCCUGGUGUAGCGGUGGAAUGCGCAGAUAUCAGGAGGAGCACCGGUGGCGAAGGCGGGUCUCUGGGCCGAUACUGACGCUGAGGAGCGAAAGCGUGGGGAGCAAACAGG